GUCCAAUCAAGCGCACCCGAUGAGACUUUUUCGAGAAGCAGAGACAUGCCUAUCAGUACUUUUAUGAGGAAUUUUAGAGAAUUAAGAAGAGUUCCAGUCUUCAGCAUAACAGAAGUUCCUAGACUUGUCAUGGGUUUGAAUUUUUAUUCAGCAGACUUACAGCUAUCUCAAACUUGAAAGAUGUUGUGACGCAUUGUGUCAAAAGUCUCCUUUUCGCUGCUUGGUAUGCUGCAGGGAUGUUUCGAAAUAGUUCAUGUGCUACCAGGUAAAUUUCGAAAAUGGGUAAUGCAAACUUCAGUACUAGAUGCUUACAGAAACGUGGACUGAAUAUCCUGAUAAAGUUCCUUCUUCUGACGGAUAGGAGCGUCAAUGAUGUUUACUUUUAUGGCACACCAUGUAGUCUACAGACCAUUGUCAGCUGUCAGCAGACUCGGUCCAGCUUUUAUGCUUAUAAAUAAAGCAGGGAAUUCCCAUUUAGAUUAUUUCGAGGAGUUUGCAGAAUCACCUGAUGAGGAAAAAAUAGUUCUGAUGAAUAAAAUGAGAGAAUCGAUGAAAUCAUUCAUGCACAGAUGCACAAAGAAGAAAGCAUAUUGCAAAAAGUUCCCGGAACAGCAGCACAUUCUGACGUUGUUCACGACCUGGAUGUACGAAAAAGAGAAAUUUCAUAUCAAUAAUAAAACAUUGUUUAAUUGGAGGACACUGCCGAACGUGAAUUUAGUAGUGUUUACAAAUUCGACUGAAGUAAAGUAUUACAGUGCAGAAGCAGGAUUUCAGGUUUUACCUAUCAUAGAGGAGGCUUCCGGUGCACCAGUUUUACCAGCGAUGUUUGGUGCUGUAAUGAAGAAAUUUCAGAGUGAAUUUUAUGGCUUUGCCAAUGGUGAUAUCCUCUUCACAAAGACACUAGUAGAUACACUGGAACAUGUGCUUUGCAAUCUGGGUCAGAUUAGAAGACAGAAUGGCAUACUGAUUGUUGGAAGGAGAGUUAACGUUCCAGCUAGACUUGUUACUGAUAAGAUAGCCAUGUCAUGGAAACAGCUUGACCGCAUUUCGCACAGUGGCUCCCUUUUCCAGUCCGACGCUGAAGACUAUUUUAUCACAGAUAAAUCAUAUCCAUGGCACAAAUUCCUACCAGUGGCUAUUGGAAGACGUGCGUAUGAUAAUUGGGUUGUAGCUUUCUCGAGAUAUCAUAAUAUCACAGUUAUCGAUGCUUCCGAGUCUAUCCAGUGUAUCCAUCAAACACUAGAAUCCAGGGGUAAUUUUGAGGGGCUCGAGAAAGGGCGGUACAAUAUUGAACUUAUUGACCGACUCAGGCUGCCAUUCUCUCCCUACAGUUGGGGAAGAACACUUUGUGCAGGGAUGAAGUCUUGGACCAAUCUAUGUGGAGAAAUUGUACUAUCAGAAAGCAUUGUGACAACAUGAUCUUGCUUGCGAUGUUUCCCAAUGAGAGUGACAUGAUGUGCGUAAAAGUGCUAAAGUUUAGUAAAAACAAUUGAAAAAAAAUUACAUACAUAUUAUUAUUUAUCUGCAAAAUGAAAUUUUAUUAUGUCAGUGUACCGGUACUGAUGAUAAACCCGGACAGAUGAUAAAGUCGACCACCUGGAAUUAUAUACGAUUGCAGUCGGUUAUUUGUAUAAUUGAACACACCAUCUAAUAGCAACCACUUAAAACACCAACUGGUGUAAACAAAAACAAAAUCGGUAAAUAUUCCGUAUAAAUAAAUGACUUACAUUUAUCUGUAUAACAAAAUAUUUAUCCAAAAUUACUGGGGAAGAGGGUGCUUUUUUACGCAUGCUCUCUGUCAACACAUAAAGGCCUGACAUUGGGUCACUUUUCAUUAUUUGAUCCAGAAUGACUGUUGCAGCAUUUUUGGUAAAGUUUCAAUAUAAUAUUAUGAGGAAAAUUUCGUAAAUGACAAAGUGGUCGA
rnacentral:misc_RNA from 1 species